UCAGGCAUGUUACUACUCUAGGAAAGUAUGUCAGACACUACUAUGACCUAUACAACACAUUAAAGCUCAAGGAAAGAAAGAAAUCGGCACAUUGUGACAUGGAAAUCCUGAGGAAGUAGUGUGCCAGAAAGUGUCAGGUGACAUAGAAAUCUGAGAACAGAAUUAGACUCAAAAGCAAUUUUAUUUGGUCUGUCUUAUAUAAAUUUAUUUGUAAAACAAUAUAUAAACAAUCUUAUCUCUUUCUAUCUGUGAUCAAGGAAUGGAAAGUUGUGAAUCCUUUCCAUGUGCGUGUACGCCGGAAGAAUCCAGUAAUUGGAAGCUAUGUACAUAUGGCUCUACAGCUGUACCAAGUUGACUACAAAUCACAUUUGCUGGAUUUCAAGAUUAUAUGUAAUGAGCCUGCAGAUUUGGUGGCACAGGAAAAGAGGAAUAAUCAAGAUGAAGUCCAGACGCAGGGACAUCAUGUCAUGGAGUUCUUUGAAAUGUGUGCAGCUCUAAUCACGGAACUAGCUCGUUAAGAGCUGCACUUCCCAUCAAUAGUCCUGAUGUGCCUAAAACAUUUAUGAUUUGGAUCUCUUACUUGUAACAUCAGUGCAAUGUUGUGAAAUCCAUUUAGAUAUCUAGACAGGAAUGGUAUGUACAUAUAUAUACACAUAUCUCUCAAUAUUCCUUUUUCAUGCAAUUAUAAGUAUACACUUUACUUAUAAUGUUAAUUGUAAAGACUGUCACCAUUUGUUUUCUUUUCAUCUAUAAUGCUAUUAAGCUACCUGCUUUAUUCUGUUUUAAAGGCAUUGCAGUACUUUAGCUGUAUUUUUCUUAGUUUUCAAAUGUUCAGAGCUUAAUAAUUACAAGAUAAACUAGACUGAUUAUAACUAAACCAUAUGAUUCAUGUUUAUGUCCAAAGGAAAGAUAAAAAUUAUGGUUAAUUAAUUAGGUUAACAUGUAUAUAUAAAAAAAGACAUUUUGGUACACAAAAAUAAAUGCUUGUGAUCCUUUGUUAUGUACUAAUACAAGUAGAUGUAAGAUACCAUAGAUCAUGCACUGUAGUUUUUGCUUGUAGAGAUUUAUAACUAUAUACUUAUUUCAAAUUGUAUUUCUUUUCAUGCCAAUUGUCAAUUUAUAUUUUAACCCUAAAAAUGUUUAUCAAGGAAAUGUUUUUGGUAGAUGCAUUGCAGAUCAUAUUUAUAUAAUGUAAAUAUUAUAAAAUUAUGUAUUUAUAUUAUAUGCUUUACAUACUUCUAAAUUGUAUAAUUAAAUUUUUUAUCUGUAAAAUUUUAAAAAUUAAUACUAUGUGAUUGUGAUUUUAAAUAUAUACACCAUGAGCAAAUUCAGUUUAAAUAAAGUACCAUAAAGCUAGGCUUAUACAUACAAUGAUGUGUCAUAUACUAAUAAGUGUAACAGAUAUGUAACUUGAGCAUAUCAACAAUCUUUUUAUAAGGGAUGUGGUGUAUCAUGACUUUCUGAUUAUGUAAAUAAAAUGUGGUACAGUAUUGUACAUACACGCACACUCUU